rnacentral:rRNA from 1 species
UUGACCUCAAAUCAGGUAGGACUACCCGCUGAACUUAAGCAUAUCAAUAAGCGGAGGAAAAGAAACUAACAAGGAUUCCCCUAGUAACUGCGAGUGAAGCGGGAAAAGCUCAAAUUUGAAAUCUGGCGGUUCCUGACCGUCCGAGUUGUAAUCUAGAGAAGUGUUACCUGUGCUGGACCGUGUACAAGUCUCCUGGAAUGGAGCAUCAUAGAGGGUGAGAAUCCCGUCUUUGACACGGACUGCCUGUACGUUGUGGUGCGCUCUCAAAGAGUCGAGUUGUUUGGGAAUGCAGCUCAAAAUGGGUGGUAAAUGCCAUCUAAAGCUAAAUAUUGGCGAGAGACCGAUAGCGAACAAGUACCGUGAGGGAAAGAUGAAAAGAACUUUGGAAAGAGAGUCAAACAGUACGUGAAAUUGCUGAAAGGGAAACGCUUGAAGUCAGUCGCGUUGGCUAGGAAUCAGUCAUGCUCUUGCUUGACGUACUUUCUGGUCGACGGGUCAGCAUCAAUUUUGACCAUUGGAAAAAGUCUCUGGGAAUGUGGCAUCUUCGGAUGUGUUAUAGCCCAUUGUCGUAUACGGUGGUUGGGAUUGAGGAACUCAGCACGCCGCAAGGCCGGGUCUUUUUUGACCACGUUCGUGCUUAGGAUGCUGGCAUAAUGGCUUUAAUCGACCCGUC